CAUCAUAUACUUCAGGUAGGAAAUAAUGCAAGGGUUUAAUUGCUGUGACUCUGCCUUCCCAUCUGGUAUCAGAGAGUGGUUUUAAAGUUAGAUCUUUAACAAGCUCCAUCUUUAACAAGCUCCAACUUGCCAUCGUUGGGUGGAUGUGACAAAGAGCACAUAAAGUUAUUGAAUGAUGCCAAAAGAAAUCUACUCUCAGGUAUAAAAUCGUUA